GCUUACGGCCAUACCACCCUGAGCACGCUCGAUCUAGUCUGAUCUCGGAAGCUAAUUAGGGUCGGGCCUGGUUAGAACUUGGAUGGGAGAAUGCCUGGGAAUACCAGGUGCUGUAAGCU
ensembl:rRNA 5S_rRNA 5S ribosomal RNA